rnacentral:rRNA from 1 species
GACGAACGCUGGCGGCGUGCUUAACACAUGCAAGUCGAACGGUGAAGCGAGUGCUUGCACUCGUGGAUCAGUGGCGAACGGGUGAGUAACACGUGAGUAACCUGCCCAUCACUCUGGGAUAAGCACUGGAAACGGUGUCUAAUACUGGAUACGACCAACCCUUGCAUGGGGUGUUGGUGGAAAGAUUUAUCGGUGAUGGAUGGACUCGCGGCCUAUCAGCUUGUUGGCGGGGUAAUGGCCCACCAAGGCGACGACGGGUAGCCGGCCUGAGAGGGUGACCGGCCACACUGGGACUGAGACACGGCCCAGACUCCUACGGGAGGCAGCAGUGGGGAAUAUUGCACAAUGGGCGAAAGCCUGAUGCAGCGACGUCGCGUGAGGGAUGACGGCCUUCGGGUUGUAAACCUCUUUCAGCAGGGAAGAAGCGAAAGUGACGGUACCUGCAGAAGAAGCACCGGCUAACUACGUG